GGCGGGCCUCGGUGUUGUGGGCGGGGCGGUUGGGGUGGGGACUAAAGCACAGACUGCGGUCCUCCGCCCUAGUCCUGGCCAGGUUAAGUAUCUUCAGUGAAGGUCGCAGGAUGCGGCAUGGUGAUCAAAGCACGGAUCGCGCUGUGUUCACUGUUUACAACCUUCUCUCCCCUUCCUGCCAGGCUGAUAACUGCCCCUUCCGCACAAGGAGAUUUGGACAACAAGGACUCAUGAAGGACAGCACAUGUCAAGGCUGGGGAGAAGAAGAGGAGCCAAGAAGGAGCAGCCAGGGAGUAUACAUUUGUGAUCCAGAAAUACAUUCAGCAUGAGGAACUGCUACCGAAGUAAGACAGCAAAUCAACAAUCUAAGUUUCUUCAUCAAGAAAUUAGAAAACAAAGACCAAAAUCAAACCAAAACAAGCCUGAGGAAGGAACUAAUGAAGGUAAGAGGAGAAAUCAAUGUGAUUGAAAACUAGAAAACGAGAGAAUCAAUGAAACAAAAACCUCUUGAAGAUUGACUGUUAGGAAGAAUUUAGCAUGCAAUUUGUUUAUCAAGGAGUGUCUUUGGGUCAACAUGGAUAGAAGGGAUGGGAAGUCUUUUUUUAUUUUUGUUUUUUUUCUGUUAACACUGAUCAAUCCUCCAAUACUGACACCAGCCACCUGGAGUUCACAUAGAUUCUACAAGUGCAAGGACUGUAUGUCACUAAAAGGAAAUACUUCAGAUGCCAGCCUCAAGAGGGUGCUCAGGUAGCCAUACUUCUGCCCUGAACACCCAAUGUAUUCCCCACAACCUGCUCACAGGCUGGAUAUUUCCAGAUGACUUACAGUGCUCAGAAGAACAUUUUCCUUACUUACAUUUAUGAGUUUAUUUUAAAGAGUAGACCCCCAAAUAGAAGACCCAAUCAGGAAAUGGAAAAGUGGGACACUUCAAAGAAGCAGUACAAAUGGCCCAUAAAUCCAUGAAGAAAUGCUCAACAUCCCUGGUGAUAUUAGAGAAAUGCAGAUUAAAACAACACUGAGAUUCCAUCUUACUCCAGAGAGAAGGACUAUCUUCAAGAAAUCAAGGAAUGGCAAAUGCUGGUGAGGCUGUGAGCGAAAAUGAACCCCUCUACGUUGUUGGUGGGAAUGUGAACUGGUAUAACCACUCUGGAAGUCAGUAUGGAGAUUCCUCAAAAAGCAAACUAGAAAUUCUAUCUGACCCAGCUAUUCCCCUUCUAGUUAUCUUCCUGAGAGAGUUAAAGACAUCAUAUUACAGGGUCCAUGCACACCUAUGUUUAGAGUGGCACAAUUCAGAAUAGCUAAAUCUUGGAAGUAGCCUAUAUGUCCAUCAAUAGAUGAAUGGAUUAAAAAAAUGUAUUUACACACAAAUGGAGCACUACUCUGCCAUAAAGAAGGAUAAUCUCGAGUCAUUUGUAGGAAAAUGAAUACACCCUGAGAUCAUGAUGUUAAGUGAAGUAAACCAGACAUACAAUGGAAACAGUGAGGAAUUGGCAUGGAGCAUCCAUGUCCUCUCUAGGUGUGCCACCCUCCAGCACCUGCAUGUAUUUGAUAGCCUGGAAACUGACCAGAACUUGUUGCUCAAGAGUUUCCAGAGUGCUCAGUCUCCCUCCCUGCAGAUUGGUGGCUGGAGCUGAAAGAAAUAUCCUCAUCAGCUGUGUGUUAAGACCUGCUAUUCACCCCUUUGCAAUGGCUCUGAGACUCUUCUGUACCACGUUCUUCAACCUCAAUGCAGUUGGAGUUCUCUCUGAUAUCCCCAUCUUCCUUUUGGCUUAGUGGGUGUUCAGGCCCAUCUUUGCAGUUUAAUACAGUGACCAGGUGUGGGAUAAAUUCAGAGGCUUGGUGAGUUGUAUUCACCUACUCUCCCCUUAGUGAGCUCACAGUUUGCAUAGCCAUCUAUAGCCUCUACCAUGUCAACUGACUCUAUCCCAUCCCUGUGUACUCUCCUGCCAUUGGCAUCCCUGCACCCCUUUGUUUGUGUCCUUUCCCUCAUUGCUGUAGCUCAUCCUGCAGAUUGGAAGUCCCUGGUCAGUCACUGGCUGCCAGAAGUUGGCAUGUAAGUACCCAGCUCACUCCACCCUUAUUAACACGCUGGUGAACCCUGAUGUGGGUCUCCCAGAUUUCAACUAAGGACCUGCUGCUCCACCUGGUCUCUGCUACAGCAUGAUGCCUUCUCAGAAGUCAGGGUCCCUUCUGGUGCAGCUCACGAGUGUAAAGGAUGAUAGAGACCCUCCACGCUGGGUGCAUCUCUGAAGGACCAUUUUAGUUCCAGAGCUUCCCAUGGGGAAGUGUGUGUGUAUCCAUGUGUGUGUUGGGGGGAUUAAUUAAAGCUUUUGAUUUUAUGUAGCCUUGUAUG
rnacentral:lncRNA from 1 species